GACGAACGCUGGCGGCGUGCUUAACACAUGCAAGUCGAACGGAAAGGCCCUGCUUUUGUGGGGUGCUCGAGUGGCGAACGGGUGAGUAACGCGUGAGUAACCUGCCCUUGACUUUGGGAUAACUUCAGGAAACUGGGGCUAAUACCGGAUAGGAGCUCCUGCUGCAUGGUGGGGGUUGGAAAGUUUCGGCGGUUGGGGAUGGACUCGCGGCUUAUCAGCUUGUUGGUGGGGUAGUGGCUUACCAAGGCUUUGACGGGUAGCCGGCCUGAGAGGGUGACCGGCCACAUUGGGACUGUGAUACGGCCCAGACUCCUACGGGAGGCAGCAGUGGGGAAUAUUGCACAAUGGGCGGAAGCCUGAUGCAGCAACGCCGCGUGCGGGAUGACGGCCUUCGGGUUGUAAACCGCUUUCGCCUGUGACGAAGCGUGAGUGACGGUAAUGGGUAAAGAAGCACCGGCUAACUACGUG
rnacentral:rRNA from 1 species